AACUUUUUCAUUCCACAAAGGAGGGCCAAUCCACACACCGUACCAAUUACACUAACAUAUUUUCCUCAUGCACUUACAAACCCUUUUUUCUAUUCACAAAUCACCCAAAGUCUCUCACGUAACUACACUUUUUUUUUGUCUCAUACAAGAUUCUUUCUAACAUACCCACGUUUGCUACAAGAUCAUGUACAGGGGAGAAGAUUCAGUGACAUUACACAGCGCAUUCUGACCACACACUACACAGUUCAUGUUCCAACUCCAUUAUUCUCCUCCUCACGAAUCUUCUAUUUUUCUCAAACCACUUCUGUCACUGUUGUUAUCACCAUUAUCUAA